AGUGAACGCUGGCGGUAGGCCUAACACAUGCAAGUCGAACGGCAGCACAGUAAGAGCUUGCUCUUACGGGUGGCGAGUGGCGGACGGGUGAGGAAUACAUCGGAAUCUACUUUUUCGUGGGGGAUAACGUAGGGAAACUUACGCUAAUACCGCAUACGACCUACGGGUGAAAGCAGGGGAUCUUCGGACCUUGCGCGAUUGAAUGAGCCGAUGUCGGAUUAGCUAGUUGGCGGGGUAAAGGCCCACCAAGGCGACGAUCCGUAGCUGGUCUGAGAGGAUGAUAGGCCACACUGGAACUGAGACACGGUCCAGACUCCUACGGGAGGCAGCAGUGGGGAAUAUUGGACAAUGGGCGGAAGCCUGAUCCAGCCAUACCGCGUGGGUGAAGAAGGCCUUCGGGUUGUAAAGCCCUUUUGUUGGGAAAGAAAAGCAGCAGGUUAAUACCACGCUGUUCUGACGGUACCCAAAGAAUAAGCACCGGCUAACUUCGUG
rnacentral:rRNA from 1 species